CUAGUAACAAUAAAAUGAUCUCAUCAGCUCUUGAGCCUCUAAUGGGAUUUGAGAUGCGGCAAUAAAAUACUGAUCCAAGAAGAAGAAGAAGAAGAAGAAGAAGAAGAAGAAGAAAUGUUUAGAUUUCAGGACGCAACAUCAGUAUUGAUAAGCGUGAUUCUGAGAAAAAGCAUAAGCAUAUUUCAUGAACUUGCCUUCAUAUUGCUAGACUUGCUAUCGAUUUUAUCGUCAGCUGUUGAAUAUUCAAGAUUUAACAAUCGCCACUCUCCUGCAGCUUUCACCAGGGAUUAUUGAUGCACGAGAAGAGAAAAAGGAUCAUCGCAAAUUGUCUAAGAGUUCAAAACCAUUGAUGCCCAGAGAACAGUUUGAGCAAGAGACAACGAGCUGUUGACUCAUCGCUUUAUUAGGGCUGCAGCAACUCAUUCAAAGAGAUAACUAUUGAUAUUUUCUUAUUUUUUUUCACUCAUAAUAGACAUGAAAAGAUACAGAUUUGAUUUUUAUCGACUUGUGAACCACAGAUUGAUAGAAGAGAUAUCUGAGGCUUCACAUCUUUGACAUUGUGUAAUCCAUGGCAUCCACAAGGAAAUCUGCAACCACAGGAUUCACCAAGUGUUACAAGUGCAGCCUAGUUGGUCAUGAUGGGACCCCACAACAGACGCAUUUUCCUGAAGAUUUUCUUUCUCAAUCACUUUUAGAACAGCCAGCCCUGCAGCAGUACACACGGGAUUCCCCCCGAAUGUGUUGAAGUAACUUCGACGAGUCAAUACUUCAGCAAUCUCAGGUGUUGUCACCACAGCACCAAGAGGAAUACCAUUCCCAAUACCCUGUACAAAUCUUAAUCUAUCUAUAAAUAUGUUUGGCUAAUAAUGAGAUUUCAGGAUACCUGCAAGGGAAAAAAAAAAGCCAAACCAAACCUACCUUUGCCAUUGUCACUAUGUCAGGAACAACACCCUGGGCUCCAAAUCCCCAAAAAUGACUUCCAGUACGAGCAAAUCCAGCUUGAACCUCAUCGGCUAUACAAAGGCCUCCUGCUUUUUUAAUGCUUGUAUAAGCAGCAGGCAAGUAACCUGGGGCCAAUUCUACAAUUCCGCCCACUCCCUGCCAUACGCAAGAAAGUAAUUCCCCUUAGAAUGCUUAUACAAGUCCAACAAGAAGUCAAUUUAAGGGAGAUGGAAGUCCACAAAGAUCAUAAUUACCUGUAUAGCUUCAGAUAUAAAUCCAGCAACAUGGCCAGUUGUUCCAAAGUCAAUGAUAUCUUGGACAUCUUUUGCGUACUUUUCUCCAUCUGAACCAAAUACACCUCUAUAUGGAUCUGGGUUCAAGGCAUGAUGCACUCCACUCUGUUGGUGAACCAAGAAGAAUGAGAAUAUGCUUUGUAACCAUCUUUAUAAUGAAAGGAGAAAGUUGAUUAUAUGAAAAGAAAAAGAAAGACGCCAAAUUGAAUUUCACAAUUGAAAUUCCAGUAUAAGAGAGACUUCCAACCUUGCAAGAGCAAUAUUAACUUUUUAUCUCAAAUUCCAGUAUAAGAGAGACUUCCAACCUUACGAGAGCAAUAUUAACUUUUAUCUCGUUCAAUAUUGUUUAGCAUGAUGUUACUACUGGCCAAAAGAAUACAUAAAGCUAGCCAAGAUAUUUAAUUAAAGUAGCUGUAAGCUUCUAAAGUGAUCUGCUUGGUUAUGUAUCUUGCUUUACUGAUGCCAAGUGGAAACUAAAGGUCCAAUUCAUUCCAUGUAA